CGAGCGGCAGCAGCUGACCGAGGCCCUCGGCACGCUGCAGAGCCGAGUCAGUGAGCUGCAGAGACGGGAGGAGGAUGCGUUGGAGAAGGUGUCGCAGAGCGUGCGGCUGUCGGAGCAGGCUCAGCUGGAGAAGGCUGAGGCUGAGCACGCGGCAGAGGUGCUCAGAAGGGAGCAGGCGAGUCAGCAGGAGCGGCAGGAGCGCCUGAUCGCAGACCAGGAGCGCAGGGUGGCGGCGGCCCGGGAGGAGGCCGAGCGCUCUGUGCAGGCCAGCUUCGACCGGCUGCGGGCCCAGCUGGCGGAGCUCACCGAAAAACAG